CCUACGGGUGGCAGCAGUGGGGAAUAUUGCACAAUGGGGGAAACCCUGAUGCAGCGACGCCGCGUGAGUGAAGAAGUAAUUCGUUAUGUAAAGCUCUAUCAGCAGGGAAGAAAAUGACGGUACCUGAGUAAGAAGCCCCGGCUAACUACGUGCCAGCAGCCGCGGGAAUACGUAGGGGGCCAGCGGUACCCGGAUUUAUUGGGUGUAAAGGGAGCGUAGACGGCAGUGCAAGUCUGGAGUGAAAGGCGGGGGGUCAACCCCCGGACUGCUCUGGAAACUGUACGGCUGGAGUGCAGGAGAGGUAAGUGGAAUGCCUAGUGUAGCGGUGAAAUGCGUAGAUAUUAGGAGGAACUCCAGUGGCGAAGGCGGCUUACUGGACUGUAACUGACGCUGAGGCUCGAAAGCGUGGGGAGCGAACAGGAUUAGAUACCCGGGUAGUC
rnacentral:rRNA from 1 species